UACGGGGGGGCAAGCGUUGUUCGGAAUUACUGGGCGUAAAGGGCUCGUAGGCGGCCAACUAAGUCAGACGUGAAAUCCCUCGGCUUAACCGGGGAACUGCAUCUGAUACUGGAUGGCUUGAGUUCGGGAGAGGGAUGCGGAAUUCCAGGUGUAGCGGUGAAAUGCGUAGAUAUCUGGAGGAAUACCGGUGGCGAAGGCGGCAAUCUGGACCGGCAUUGACGCUGAGGAGCGAAAGCUAAGGGGAGCAAACGGGGAUUAAGAAACCCCGAGUAACGUCCA
rnacentral:rRNA from 1 species